rnacentral:rRNA from 1 species
GACGAACGCUGGCGGCGUGCUUAACACAUGCAAGUCGAACGGAAAGGCCCUGCUUUUGUGGGGUGCCCGAGUGGCGAACGGGUGAGUAACACGUGAGUAACCUGCUCUUGACUUUGGGAUAACUUCAGGAAACUGGGGCUAAUACCGUACAGGAUCUCCCGCUGCAUGGUGGGGGUUGGAAAGUCUCGGCGGUUGGGGCUGGAUUCGCGGCUUACCAGCUAGUUGGUUGGGUAGUGGCUUACCAAGGCAUUGACGGGUAGCCGGCCUGAGAGGGUGACCGGCGACAAUAGGACUGAGGGACGGCGCAGAGGGCAACGGGAGGCAACGGGGGGGAAUAUUGCACAGUGGGCGGGAGCGUGAUGCAGCAGCGCCGCGUGCGGGAUGACGGCCUUCGGGUUGUGAACCGCUUUCGCCUGUGACGAAGCGUGAGUGACGGUAAUGGGUAAAGAAGCACCGGCUAACUACGUG